ensembl:lncRNA
GUAUGUACUUCUCAGUAUCAACACUCUAGACAUCUUUGUUGUUGUAUACACGUAUUUUAAUCCCUGACAGCAUAGUAUCAUCAGUGUGAUAGGUGCUCACAAGAAUAUCAGCCAGUAAUUUCAGCAGAGGUUCAAUCAGUGACCAGCUUUCCACUUACCCCAUAGCUCAAUGCAGUUAAGUAUUGGAUAACCUAUGCUACUGUUAUCUCUCUUACAUAAAGAGACUGAGCAAACUGGUUUGUAAUCACUGAAGGACAAUACAGUAAGUUAAUGAUGGGGAGAAAGAACUGUACUGCUAAUAAAUUAAUUGGUCUAAAAUUUCCAAGAUCUUUACUCUGUUUCUCUUAGCACUUGUUAAAGAAAUAAAAGGUAAAGAGGCUGCAGUUUUUGCACCCUGUAGGAGAUGUACAGAUGUAGAAAAUGUAGUGUUUUUAUAGUCCUUCUGCAGGACACUGUUGCCAUAGUUCGGUAUAGUCCGUACCUUUGGAUACUAAAUUGCUCUUCCCAUCAAUAAGCUCUCCAAGCUUCUGGCCUGUCUUUGUGCUUCUGACAGGGAAAAUUCCUACAGUCAUCAUCAUUAUAGAAUUCCUGAGUUAAUAACUUUUUCAUCAAUAUUUUUCCUCCAUAAGUCUAACUGGAAUUUAGCACUGCUAUAAAUUCCAUGAGUCACAGAGAAUGGCAAAAAUGGUAGUAAGAGGGAAUCAAUUAUUAAAGAAAGCAUAAAGAUUUAUCUAUAGCAUCUGAGAGAAGGAGUUAGAAGCAAGAAAGUCCUACGCUAAUAUUUUUUUGAGUUCCAUUUCUUCAUUCUAUAAAUGAAGUCCCUCUUGUCCCAGGGCCCUCUUCCACUGGGUCUGGUUGAGGCAAUCCAACCCUUGCUGCUUGCUCAGAGUGCCCUAAAUCUGAUUUUCCUGGGUUUCUUUUUACCUAUUUUGUUCCAAAAUUCUACAUCUAUCCUGGAACACCUCAGUAAGCCUGGUUCAAUUUACACUUCUUAAGAUAGAGAUAACAUUUCAGCAUUGAUUUUGGAAUACUUGAUCACCAGCAAUUAAGCUACAGUCACCGUUCAUUUAAAUAAAGAGAAGUAAAAUCUUUCAGAAUUGCAUUAGCAUUUCUCCUGCAUUGCAGAGAGCCUGAUUGUAUAUGCACAUAAAGUGUGGAAAAUAGUAGUGAAAAUCAGAAGACUUCUCCCACAUUUUUUUCGAUUUCCAAUACAAGUUUGCAGAGACAGCUGCUGUAAUUUUGAAUUCCUUUGGAAUACAAAUUUAACCAUUCUAGUUAAAUAUCAGGUGCAUCCCCAUUGCUAAUUAUGCAGGGGUGUAGGAAUCCAGGAUAUGGCUCUCUAUUCUGUGCCAGCUGUUGGAAGGACUGCUCUCUGUGUCAGUGACUCAAGCUGGUGAAUACACCAAAAAUAUACAGUCUGUAACCGUGGCAGUUUUACACAGAGAAGUCAUUGGGAUGGCUGGGUCAGAGGACACAAAGUUCCUGUAAAGUCUAAAAGGAAAGUGAAAGGUGAGACAGAGCAAGUAAGAACCAUUUCUAAACAUUCUUAGCUGGUGCUUCUGUUCGGUUUUUGUUGUUUUGGUGGCGGCGGUGGUGAAUAUUUUGAUUAUAUUUGAUAAUGUUCCUUUUUAUCCGCACAUACAAUUGCUCUAGACCCAAUAAAUCAUCAGUCAUAUAAUGAGAUGAAUUCGUGUGUGGUCACAGAGUUAUUUUUACUCAAGCAUAUGAAGGUGUGUAAUUUUUGCUAUAUAAAAUAUGCUAAGUGACGGGGCGUUUCGGUGUGUUGCUUAUUUUAUCCUUCAGAAUUUGCUAAUCACCAAGCAUAUGCACACAGUUCCAGAGAAAACAAAGGAAUGCAGAAGUAUUAAAUAGUUACAGCUGCUCUGCUGAGGCAGCAGCCACAUGCUGGCCUGUUCUAUGAAAAUUAAUUGGAAAAGCUUCUAACACAAAAUAAUCAUCACCCAGCUUGAAUUUUAGGAGCCAAUUUAGGAUGUUUUACUUUUGGAGAAAUAACUUCUUACCGGCUUCAGAGCUAUAUUUGAUUGCAAGAAUAUCUGCUCAAUCUGGCUGUAUUGCCAGAGGGAGUGAAACACAAAGAAUAAAGUGAUUACCAGAAAUCUACUAAUUCUUGUCCAGUCCUUUCUUGGGAGUCAGAAUGAGUUCAUGUAGGUCAUAACAGACAAAUCUUUCUCUAAAUGUCCUUACAGUAUUUUCACUAUUGAGAGUCUGCAAAUUAGAUUUCCCUCUUGCUCUUCCUCCACUGAGCACUGAAAAUGAUUGAUCGCAUCUUUGCUACAGAAGAGGGAUAAGAGCAAAUGAAAACUGGUGAGCUCAGUGACUUGGUGAAUGAGACGGUGAGGUAGGCCAUCCUGCCCGUACUGGAAUAUAUAAACUUUAUUUGUUUGAUACAAUAUCCUUGGUUUGAUACCUUGGGAACUUGGUUGGGUUCCUAUGAAUGUUUCUUGUUUUAGAACAAACAACAAACCCGUUCACCCUGAUCUUUUGCAAGCAGGACAUAAAUUAUAAACAUCUAAUCAUUUUUGCUGAUCUGCUUUGGAGGUUCCCUCCAGUUUUUGUUUGUGCACGAAGCCAUUUCAAAGCUCUGAUGCAUUUGAGAAGGAG